UGUCUUUUCAUAGGUUUGUAGUGCAGUGUAAGCGUUGCAGAUUUGCCCACAGUAGCAGAGACGUCCUCUUGAAACACUACAGGCUUCGGCACUAUCAAGUGUGAUCCUAUCAGCAUCCUUGCUUGUAUACUGACCGUAUCUGCACUUUUAAAACUUUAGAAUAUGCGGCUCCGUGUUGUGUUGGCCCCUGGUAAUAUUACGAGGAUGGAUAUUUUGCAAAAUCUCACUUCGGUUGAACAUUUGAAAACAAUUCUUCAAGAAAGGCUUGAAAUCGAGGAUGAUUUUCUGAUUCAGUUUGAGGAUCCUGAGUUCGGAAAUGAACUUGACCAGUAUAACAGAGCUUCCACAAGAAAGAGCAGUGCUGAAGAUCAUCCAGAAAGUACCUGAAGAAUCAGAAAUAGAGACCUCGAAAAAAGUGCACAAUGACUCUAGAUGUUUAAAGAAAGCAAAGAGAUGUGAGGUAAACUUCCUCCCAGACAACCCAGUAGGGCAGACAGAUUGUUCCUUACAGAAGGAAAAAGAUGCACUACAAGAGGAAAUAAAGAAGAAACAUUUCAGCAUUACAAUUGUUGACUCCAAAAUGGAGCUGACAUUCUCUCUGAGAAGAAUGGAGAUAUUUAAUGAAGAACCUCUUGUGGCUGAAUGUUUUUGGAAGAUCAGGUCUCUGCCGAGUUUUACAGAAUUACACAAACCAACCUGAACAGUACCUUUUUGUCUCCCACAUGGUGGAGCCUAUGGAGAUGAAAUGAAGACCCUCCUAGACCAACUUGUUCAAGCUUCUGAUGUGCUUGCUCAAAGAAAAGCUACAGCUCUCAAAGGUCUACCUUUGUUUAUGAGGGAAAAGUCUGGAAACUUCCUGAAGAACUUGCCUGGACACAGACCCAGAAGACACUCAUACAAAAGGGUUGAAGAUGGGGGUCUUAACUGUCACUGAAGAUGACGUUGCCACCAUCCAUUCAAACCCAAAUGUAAGGUCCCUGUCUGUAGUUGUAGAGGAGCAGGUUGUGCUGGAUAAAGUGCAAGACUUCCCUACAGCUGUUGCUCUCCUAUUUGGCUUGUUUUAUGCCAUCAACAUUAUCUAUCAUAAAGAACUAAAAUAUACUUUUGAAACUAUUCAGAAAGUGUUUAUUGGCCUUGACCCCCAGUGUUCUGCAAGAGUCCAGUCCUUCAAAAACAAAUUGUUAAAGUAGCUGCAGUUCAUGUGAUUAAUCAAAAGUGCAAGUUCUGAUUUGUUCCUGUUUGUUUUGUAGCUGUAUAACAGUACAACAUAUACCAAAGUCAGUUUUGAGUUUUAGUGUAAGGUUUUAUGACAUUCAUGUUUUGUUUUUUACAGUUGUAAUACCUGAUUGCUCUAUGUGUUGAAACUCUGCUUGUUUUUUUUUUUUUUUUACUCCAGCACUUUAAAAGCUUUUGUGUUGGUUUACUCCAGUUUUUCCAGUUCAUGUUGACAGAAAAUG